UUAAAAUUAAUUUAAAAACGAUUAACUUAAAAUUUAUGAUACUACAUAUCUAUCCCUAUCCCUAAUGAGCAAGCCGGAGGCGACAGCAGCAAGGAAAAACUCCCUAAAAUAAUAUGAGGGAGAAACCUUGAGAGGAACCAGGCUCAGAAGGGAACCUCAUCCUCAUUUGGGUGACACUCAAAGUUCUUUUUUUAAUGGAAACAAAUAGGCAUAACCACAAUUAAAGACCUAUACAAUGAAGGCAAAUUUAGCUCCUUUGACCAGUUAAAGCAACACCAUGCCCUGUGAAUGCUAGACAUAAUCUGAUUCAAUUCAAGGUAAUUCAUAGGCUCCAUUAUUCAAAAUCAAAACUUAAAUAUAUAAAAUAUAUUCUGCAAUAUCUUCACUCUGCAACAAAUGUAAAACAGUAGAUGGCACUUUUUUCCAUUCUUUAUGGUCAUGCUCCAAAAUCCAGCCAUUUUGGAAAGGUAUAUUUAAAUUUCUUUCUGAAGCACACUAUCAAUCUUCACUAUCACACACACACAAGGCCCCUCCCUUUUCCAGUACAAGGCCAGUACAUCAGGAGACGUGGAGGAGGCCGUAGGAGGGCAACAACCCAGCAGCAGGACCGCUACCUCCGCCUGUGUGCAAGGAGGAACAGGAGGAGAACUGCCAGAGCCCUGCAAAAUUACCUCCAGCAGGCCACAAAUGUGCAUGUGUCUGGUGAUAUGAGGUAGCCUGACUGCCAUUAGGUACAGAGGUCUCCAGGAGCCCCCUGUGAAUGGAAUGAACUGUAUUGUCUAACUGGAUGCCGAUGUCUGCAUACUGUGUGAUGUGGAUGUCUGCACGUUUUCCCCAUCUCCAUUUGGACGUUGGUCUCUUAAAACCGAAAAUCUGUUCUGCAGAGUAAUCAUGGUUAUUAAAACACAAGGAGAAAGAAAAAUACAGUAAAAUGAAGACUAUAAAACCGAAACAAAUAUUAAUACACCUGUUCUCACCCAACUUACUCUGGUGGGAGACUAUGGAAUAAAAACACUGUCAAUAAUAAUCAGUUGGAUCCCAAAAUCUACGGCCACGACAGUUUACAGAUACGAGAUUUUGUGUGUUUGUUCAAAUACAAUUCCAAAAUGUACGACUAUGACAGUUUACACACACAACGCUUGUUUUCACAACACCUCUUUUUCACACACGAAGUGCGGUCUGCGAAACAACUGUCAAAAAUACGUCAUCACGUUCACAGGCAUUACUAUCCGAGGGAAGAUGAAUCGAUUCCACAAAGUGCACAUGCGCCCCGCCCUCUUUUAAACCACUGGCACCGAAAUGGCGGAUCAGCAGCCAAGCGCUCACUCAUCAUCUCAGGGACCCCUGAUGACGCACUUACUAGAAUGCCUCAGGUCAAGAAUAAAUGCAGUUUUAGAUGGCCAUCAGCUGGACUUGGACUAUUUUCAGUAUGUUAUAAAUCAAGAAGUGUUUAUUUUGUCAUCAGCCUCCACUAUCUUUGAUGUGCCAAAUGAUAUUUUGGAGACCCUCAUGGAUCUACAACAAAAAAUUCAUGCAGCUCUUUCCCAAGAAGUGGCCCCAAUUCUUACGAGGGAAUGUGGUGGUGGACGAGGUCGACCUAAGUUUAUUGUUUCUGAGGAGACAUCUCAUUGAGAUGUCUUUAUGUGUUUCUUGUAUUGCGAACAUUUUAGGAGUAAGCCAGUCAACAAUCUUCCGCCGAAUGCGUGACUUGUGUUUAUCUGUAAAAACUACAUAUAGCACCAUAUCUGACAAUGAAUUGGAUAAUGCCAUUUUGGCCAUCAAAAGGCAGCUACCAAAUGCUGGAUAUAGGAUGAUGAAAGGCUGCCUACAAGCAGAUGGACAUAGAGUUCAAUGGAACCGCAUAAAAGAAUCCAUGCACAGAGUGGAUGCCCCUGGAAUUCUGGAAAGGAUGACACAGCUGGGGUGUAUCGUCAGGAGGUCAUAUUUUGUUCAAAAUCCAUUGUCCUUAGCCCACAUUGACACAAAUCACAAGCUCAUAAGGUACAACAUCAUCAUAUUCGGUGGGAUAGAUUGGUUCUCAUGAAAGCAACAAACAACCGUUCAAACACUGCCUUAUCAUUCUUUCUCCGGUCUGUGCAACAGCAUGGCUGGCCUUCAAGGGUCCGGGGUGAUGAAGGUGUGGAAAAUGUGGCAAUUGCAGAAACCAUGUUUCGUGUGAAAGGGAUCGGAAGAGGAAGCUUCAUUUCUGGGAAAAGCGUACAUAAUCAGAGAAUCGAAGCCUGUGGCGAGACGUCUGGCUCGGCUGUAACUCACCUGUAUUAUGAAAUACUUCACAGCCUUGAGGAAGAUGGCAUGUUGGACUUGUCAGAUUCCCUUCCUUUUUUUUUUUGCACAUUAUGUGUUCCUCCCACAUCUGAAGCGUGACCUCCACACUUUUUCUGAAGGCUGGGACAAUCAUCCGUUACGGUCUGAAAAUGGGCUCACCCCUAACCAGAUGUGGAUAAUGGGACACAUGCACAACUCAUCUGGAGAUGAUGAAGAGAAUUUCCAGAAUUUGGAACUGUUUGGUACAGACUGGGAAACGUUUGACAGCGUCACAGAAGAUGAUGUUGGAGUUCAUGUUCCAGAAAUUGAGUGCCCACUCACUUCUGCUCUGAUGGAAACAGUAAAAUCCAUCUUUAAUCCUCUUGCAACAUCUGACUGUUAUGGCAGAGAUAUUUAUAUCUCUUUGGUUCAAUAUUUUGAAAGUCUUUAAAAUACACAAACAUGUGUGAAACGAUUGCAAACAUUUAUUUUACAAAUUGUGUACAUACUUUGACAAUUUCAACUAACACAGAGCAGCACAAUGAAUGAAUUGUAUGAGAAGUAAUUUGUAAAUGAAAAUCAGAACAGUUAAUGAUUUUGUAUUGCUUAACACAAACAUUCUUUGGACAAAUAUUGUCAACGGAACAGUUUUACUUGUGCCAAUAAACAAUGACUCAACGAGAAGCUGAAA